rnacentral:rRNA from 1 species
CCUACGGGGGGCAGCAGUGAGGAAUAUUGGUCAAGGGGCGCGAGCCUGAACCAGCCAAGUAGCGUGAAGGAUGACUGCCCUACGGGUUGUAAACUUCUUUUAUAAAGGAAUAAAGUGAGGCACGUGUGCCUUUUUGUAUGUACGUUAUGAAUAAGGAUCGGCUAACUCCGUGCCAGCAGCCGCGGUAAUACGGAGGUUCCGAGCGUUAUCCGGAUUUAUUGGGUUUAAAGGGAGCGUAGAUGGGUUGUUAAGUCAGUUGUGAAAGUUUGCGGCUCACCCGUAAAAUUGCAAUUGAUACUGGCAGCCUUGCGUACAGUUGCGGUCGUCGUAAUUCGUGGUGUAGC